GAUGAACGCUGGCGGCGUGCCUAAUACAUGCAAGUCGAGCGAAUGGAUUAAGAGCUUGCUCUUAUGAAGUUAGCGGCGGACGGGUGAGUAACACGUGGGUAACCUACCCAUAAGACUGGGAUAACUCCGGGAAACCGGGGCUAAUACCGGAUAAUAUUUUGAGCUGCAUAGUUCGAAAUUGAAAGGCGGCUUCGGCUGUCACUUAUGGAUGGACCCGCGUCGCAUUAGCUAGUUGGUGAGGUAACGGCUCACCAAGGCAACGAUGCGUAGCCGACCUGAGAGGGUGAUCGGCCACACUGGGACUGAGACACGGCCCAGACUC
rnacentral:rRNA from 1 species